rnacentral:rRNA from 1 species
UACGUAGGGUGCGAGCGUUGUCCGGAAUUAUUGGGCGUAAAGAGCUCGUAGGCGGUGUGUCGCGUCGGCCGUGAAAACCUGGGGCUUAACUCUGGGCGUGCGGUCGAUACGGGCAUCACUAGAGUUCGGCAGGGGAGACUGGAAUUCCUGGUGUAGCGGUGAAAUGCGCAGAUAUCAGGAGGAACACCGGUGGCGAAGGCGGCAUCCUGGACCGGUAUUGACGCUGAGGCGCGAAAGCCAGGGGAGCAAACGGG